CAUACCCUGGGGUAUUGGCCAGUUCGCAAGUCCUCGAGCCGAUAAUCUAUACCCCGGUGUCCUCCAGCUAGUGUUGGUGUGCAUGUCCGCUCGACGGAAAGCCUAAUGCAUUACUGAGGCCACCACCUUGAACUUUACGGUUCAAGGCCAAGCCAACAGCGGUACCUUGGGGUCACU
rnacentral:other from 1 species